rnacentral:rRNA from 1 species
GUAGGGUCCGAGCGUUAUCCGGAAUCAUUGGGCGUAAAGAGCUCGUAGGCGGUUCAGCAAGUCGGCUGUGAAAGUUCGAGGCUCAACCUCGAAAUUGCAGUCGAUACUGCUGUGACUUGAAUUCGGUAGAGGAGAAUGGAAUUCCCGGUGUAGCGGUGAAAUGCGCAGAUAUCGGGAGGAACACCAGUAGCGAAGGCGGUUCUCUGGGCCGGUAUUGACGCUGAGGAGCGAAAGCGUGGGGGAGCAAACAGGGUUAGAUACCCUGGUAGUCCACGCCGUAAACGUUGGAUGCUAGGUGUGGCGGUCUACCAACGACUGCCGUGCCGAAGCUAACGCAUUAAGCAUCCCCGCCUGGGAGUACGGCCGCAAGGCUA